UCUGACUGCAUAGACCAUAUCUAAAGUUUAAUUGUGUUUCUUUCAUACAGUCAUUUGAACUAUCUACAGCGCAUCUCUUGCAGGUUACACGUGGCUACUGGAAGAUGUCCUGCGUGAUUGUUCAAAGGGGCCCAUUGAGAGUUGAGACACUGCAGGCUUUUAUGAGGAAUGCUUUGGAUCAAGCAAGAGACACUGAGUAGUUUCCUUCCUUCCAAGAUUUCAAAGCAACAGCACCAUAUUGAGUCUUAACUCAAAACCUUUGUUCAGAAGCCAGCAGCUGGCUACUCACACCAAGAUGGCACUGGAUGUUUUUGGAGUGGGAUAUCCAGGUGACAUUUUAAUAAAAGCUUUCAUGGGC
rnacentral:lncRNA from 1 species